rnacentral:rRNA from 1 species
AGGACUAACGCUGGCGGCGUGCCUAACACAUGCAAGUCGAACGAGAGUAGCAAUACUCUAGUGGCAGACGGGUGAGUAACACGUGGUCAACCUACCUUUAAGUGGGGGAUAACUAGCCGAAAGGUUAGCUAAUACCGCAUACGAUCUUCGCGUGGCAUCACAUGAAGAUGAAAGGAGCAAUCCGCUGAAAGACGGGACCGCGUCCCAUUAGCCAGUUGGUGGGGUAACGGCCUACCAAAGCAACGAUGGGUAGCUGGCUUGAGAGAGCGACCAGCCACACUGGGACUGAGACACGGCCCAGACUCCUACGGGAGGCAGCAGUGAGGAAUUUUCCGCAAUGGGCGAAAGCCUGACGGAGCGACGCCGCGUGUGGGAUGAAGGCCUUCGGGUCGUAAACCACUGUCGAAGGGGAAGAUAUUGACGGUACCCUUGGAGGAACGCCCGGCUAACUACGCGCCAGCAGCCGC